rnacentral:lncRNA from 1 species
AAGAGUAAAGUACUUCCGCUUCCUUAGGUGGAGCUGGAAAGGUGGAGGCGGAAGUGACUGAUCAAUUCAGGGGCGUGGGGUUCGUUUAGGUUUUGCCCUGUGUAUGACCUCGUUUGGAGCCAUGAAACCAGGGCACUGAAGAUAUUAUUUAUAUUCAGAGGCUAUGUUGGUUUGGAGAAGGAAAGGUCACCAUGUGUGAUGACUACAUCCAAAGAGAAUGAGCAAAGCAGACCUUGGUGGCCAGAGGGGAGCCCUCAGGUAGAGCUGCAGAUGCUGGCAGUUUGUGUUAGAAGGUUCCGGGGCUAAACAGAUGCCUAGAAUUAGCCACCAAAAGGUAAAUUGUAGACUCCACUCUUCAAGAAGCAGCAGAAGGAUUAGGAAUUCAAACAGUGCUAUUUUACGGUCAUAAGAACAGACAGUAUUUUUUUGGCGCAGCAAGAACUUCUUAGGCCAUAAAGCAUGACAGACCUCUUUUCCUUAUGCGCUGAAUUGAAGAAGUGCUGACUCUUUUGCUGAUGGAAGCUCUUCCACGAGUUCACGAAUGGAAAUAACAUCAAGAGUUUUUCAUCUUCUUAGUGUGCAAGAACACAGCAUAGUAUGUGACAUAAAGGCUUGAUGACUGUGUUGAAUGAAUGUAUGUUAUGUCUGAGGAAUAGUCUUAGUGGAUUAUCCCAAACUUGACACAUUUUUUGCAAAAUGCUAUACAAAAAGAAGAUACAUGCGAUUAUGACAAGAUUCUCCACUUGGUGUGACCAGUCUCAUACAACCCAAGGCUGUGUGUCCAAAGGCAACUGUACUGAAUACCGGAAAGCAUGUAUUUGUUUGCUAAAUUGCUCUCUUUCCACCAGUGAUAUCAAUUCUGAAAUACUUUUGAGAUCUUGACAAUAAUCAAAAGGUAGCCAGGUGCAUCGGGGAAAGCACUGACAUUGGAGUCAGACAGACUGAAGUUCAUAUCUGAUUCUGCUAUAUGACAACGUGUGGGCUAUGUGGCUAACUUCUCAGAGCUUCAGUUUUCUCAAGGGCAAAAUGAAAAUAAUAGAAAUAAUAGAAUCCACCUCACAGGGCUGUGGUGAGAAUUGGAGAUGAAGCACAUACAGCAUAUUACAUCAACUAAACACAUGCUAAAAAUUAAAGGGGAUGAAAGAUACAUUGGUCCCUGCAGUGGGAAGUUUCCUUGACAAUGCAAUUAUUGAUUCCAGAAGGCUGAACAAAUGUUGACAGAGGAACACACUGUUUGCUUAUGUCUAAUCUUCCCAUCUGACUUAUAUAAAUGUCACAAAUGAAUCUCAGACAUGUGCCCAAUAUCAAAUAUCCAUACGAUGGCCCUGGAAAGAGGCAAUCUACAUUUAUGGCUGAUGAGAAGAUGGAUUUUUAGCUUGAAAGAAACUUAUUACUGGGGAGAGGAAGUAUAAAUGAAUGGAGAGAGCUAUGAAGAGGUUGAGAGAAUACAGCCAAGGCACAUGACAGAAUUGCUCUGUUGAAGUUUUGCAAGGUCAAAUGACUCACUUUGUCUAAUGGAACGGGAACGAACAAUUUUUUUGUGUCACGUUUGAACAGAUACCUUUGAGAAGUUUAUGAUUCUCCAAGUUCUCUUUCUCCUACUGUGGCACCUACUGACAAGAUAAAUGUGUAGAGGUUCCUGAGUCUAGGGGUGAGUCUUGCAUAUCUGAUGAAUCCACCAGUAAAAGUACCACUGCUGAAAUCACGCAAAUAUAUUUUUUUAGACCUUAUCAACCUUGGCAUGGAAUUAGAUGAGCAAAAAGCUGAGUUGAAUUGAUGAAAAGAAUCCCAAGUCAUUAAUUACUAAUGAUGGAGCUUGUAAAGUACAGCAUCACUGGGGAAAGCAACUGACUUUCCUCAUACACAUUAUAUUUUUAUCUGAAUUUCAAUACUGCUUAAAUAUGUACUUCAUUACAGGGCACAACUAAAAUAGAAGGGCACCUGCUAAGUCAGAGCCAUAAAACAGAUCUACAGCCUGCUGGCAUGUGAAAUUUCUCUAAUUUAUAUUUUUUAUGAAACUACCCUCACAUUAUGUGGUUGGCAGCAUAAAUAAUAAAGCAUGUUACUGAAGCAAUUUUACAUUUACUGUAUUAGUAAGUAAAUGCAAUGGCCACUCUUAUUCUCAAAUAAAAACUACCCAGCCUUUUCAUGAAAGAUGUUUGCAAUUUCCAUUGGCCUGUAUAUGCAAUAAAAAGCCAUAACUCAUCAAAA